AACGUCUGAAAAUGCUUAAGCUUUUAUAAUAAUGGGAGGGUUAGUGAAGUUGUAAGACACUCCGAAGUGUCUCUAAGUAAUCAGGAUUUUGAAAAGCUUCAUAUUGUUACUUACCGAGAUAAAGAUGCUGCAUUUUCAAUUUUUUUACUUUCUUUCGUCCUUGUUAUAUCAGACAAACUUGGCAAUAUUCUCAUUUUCUUUGAAUGCGUUAUGACUUGCGACGGCUUGUGGAGCUUAUAGUGGGAUGCGAAUCAAUCUCUGCACUUGUAUAAAUUUAAUUUACAUUCACCCACUGAACUGAAUGUAUGGUUGCUCAGCGUCUUUCAAAGAUUCCACUGACUUAAAUCUGGGAAGGUUCGAUCUUUCCCUGAGAACUUUGAAAACACCUGAUCAGAGGAUCCGUCGGGUGCAAGCUCUUGAUUUAUUUUAUACUCGGCUUGGUCUUGGUGUAUCGCCUAUUUUUAUUCAUUAUAUCUCAAGUAUUCUAG
rnacentral:misc_RNA from 1 species